rnacentral:rRNA from 1 species
GACGAACGCUGGCGGCGUGCUUAACACAUGCAAGUCGAACGGAAAGGCCCUGCUUUUGUGGGGUGCUCGAGUGGCGAACGGGUGAGUAACACGUGAGUAACCUGCCCUUGACUUUGGGAUAACUUCAGGAAACUGGGGCUAAUACCGGAUAGGAGCUCCUGCUGCAUGGUGGGGGUUGGAAAGUUUCGGCGGUUGGGGAUGGACUCGCGGCUUAUCAGCUUGUUGGUGGGGUAGUGGCUUACCAAGGCUUUGACGGGUAGCCGGCCUGAGAGGUGACCGGCCACAUUGGGACUGAGAUACGGCCCAGACUCCUACGGAAGGCAGCAGUGGGGAAUAUUGCACAAUAGGGCGGAAGCCUGAUGCAGCAACG